rnacentral:rRNA from 1 species
UUAGGGGAGGCAGCAGUGGGGAAUAUUGGGCAAUGGGCGCAAGCCUGACCCAGCAAUGCCGCGUGUGUGAAGAAGGCCCGAGGGUUGUAAAGCACUUUCAGCGGGGAGGAAAGAGCCGGGGCGAACACCCCCGGCGUUGACAUUACCCGCAGAAGAAGCGCCGGCUAACUCCGUGCCAGCAGCCGCGGUAAUACGGAGGGCGCGAGCGUUAAUCGGAUUUACUGGGCGUAAAGCGUGCGUAGGCGGCGCGUUAAGUCGGGCGUGAAAGCCCCGGGCUCAACCUGGGAACGGCGCCCGAUACUGGCGCGCUCGAGUUGGGUAGAGGGGGGCGGAAUUCCGGGUGUAGCGGUGAAAUGCGUAGAGAUCCGGAGGAACACCAGUGGCGAAGGCGGCCCCCUGGGCCCAAACUGACGCUGAGGCACGAAAGCGUGGGUAGCAAACAGGAUUAGAUACCCUGGUAGUCCACGCCGUAAACGAUGCCGACUAGCCGUUGGCCUUAUUCGUAAGGUUAGUGGCGCAGCCAACGCAUAAGUCGCCGCUGAG